AUAGUCACUAUAAUCAAUAGUGUAUUGCCUGUAGAUCUAGUACCUGUACUAAUAUUAGUAGAUGUAGAUCUAUAAUAAUAAUACUUUUUAAUAGUAGAAAGUAGAUUUAUAAUCUAUCAAUUCUAUCUAAUCUAGACUAGAUGUAGAUCUAAAUCUAGACUUCACUUUCACAUCACAUGAUUAUUGAUACAGACACUGAAUGAAACGAAUGCAGUGAUUAUAUUAUAGUUUAUACUGAUUAUACUUAUAGCUCUACCAGUUGAUUAUCAUCAUCAUCAUAGAUAAUAAUCUAGACUAGUAUUCUAGAUCUAUAAAUAAUUAUAGUCACCGUGAUAGUGCCCUUUUUAGUCAAUGUAGUCAAGUCAAGAUAGUGGAACGUAAACUCGAAGGUUUAAUACAAUACAGUAUAAGUAGAGUCUAUGAUUAUUAACAAGUAGAACCAUGCCAACCAGUUCUGAUGAUGUACCAGAAUGGCUCAAGGAUCAUACUUAUACUAUUUCUACUCUCUGGGCAGACAUUAAUAAUAUUGGCAUCUAUUCAAUAUUUAUUUUAUGUUUGGAAAUGCAAGAAAAGGGCAUGCAUUCCUGACAAGUCAAUGAUUGGUUGCACCUCUUAAAGAUAACUUUCUGUUAUGAGAAAAGAUGAGAUUCUUGGACUCCUGCAUAGCACCACAAGAAAGGAAAAUCCCAUCAUGUUGCAAAAUAAAAGUCUUGGACCAAUUUUAAUUUAAGAUAUAUAUAUUAUACUGUAAGCUCUAUACAUAUUUAUGUAUAUCCUGUCAUUCAGCCAACAGGUUUGAAUUUAGUAUUUCUUUAAAUCUGUUUAAUAUUGUACUUGAAAACUAUUAAUCUGAGCCCCAUUAAAACAAUAGGGAGUGCAGUGAAUGAAUGGUAAAGCACUUGGCUUCUGAACUGAGGGUUCCUGGGUUCGAUUAAGACUGGGAUUUUCAAUUUCAGAAUUCAAAAGGCUAGGGAUACAUGGCAAUAGUAAGGAAUAAGUAAAUGGCUGAAUGGUUAAAUCAUGGGUUUGAAUCUCUGUGAAGACUCAGAUUUAAAUUUUUUAGAUUUUUGGGUGCCCCUGAGUCCACCUAACUCUAAUGGGUAGCUGACUUUCGUUUUGGUUGGUUGUUGUGCUGGCCACAUGAUGCACUGGCCAAAGAAUCAAAUGACCUUAACAUCAUCUGCCCUAUAGAUUGUGAGGUCUGAAAUGGGAUUUUUUUUCAAAAGGUGGUUGGUUGUGGUGCUGGGUACAUGACACCCUCGCUAACCAUGGGGCACAGAAACUGAUAAACUUUAUAUCAUCUGCCCCAUAGAUUGCAAGAUAUGUAAGGGAAAUUUUACUUUUUUAAAAUUAAAAUAAGAAUCUAACAAAAGUAAACAUAUAAAAUAUGGUGCAUUCUCCUUAAAACUAAAACCUGGUGCGAAGGUUUAAAAUGUUGGCAAAAAAAAAGCAACAUCAUAUAUUCUUAAUUCCCUUUGCAAAACUUACUGAGAAGAACAUGCAUGUUGUUCCCUUAUACAUUUCUUGACAGAGAAAAUCUUGUUUAUAUUAGAUUUGCAUUAAGCAAGUUAGGAAAAAAAUUAUAAUCAUUAUUUCAAAUGGUUGUAUCUAAAACCUUAUGAAUCAUUUUUCAGUUUUAAGUAUAUUGAGAUGAAUGGAUAAUCAUGAAAUUAUUAAAUAAUUGCUGCUAUCAUUCCAUUGACUAAAGAACCAUAAUUUUUUUUUUUUUUAAUUCAUUUCAAAAUGAUUUUUUUCAAGCAUAGAGUUCACAUAGAUCUUGAGUGAAUUUUUUUUUUUAUUUGACUAAUGCUUCAAUUUUAUUGUAUUAUAUUAGUUUUUAAUUUUUAUUACCCAGAAUAUUUAAAAAAUGAGUACACUAUUUUCAUGUAAUAAUGUAACUUGUUAUUCACACAAUGCUCAAAAUACGCUAUAAUCUUUAGGCCAUACAGAUUUGUAUAAAUUAACUUGUUUAAAUACAUUGUAAAUGUAUAUUGUUUGGAUAAGAAUAAAGUUUUUCUGUAGACAAUUAUUGUUCAAGAUUUGUUGAUGCUCCUGCUUAAUCAAUUAUAUAUACAGGUCAUUAGUUUUAACACGUUGGAUAAUAAAUGACAGUACAAGUUAGUGAAUGAAAAUUUGUCAUUAUUUCAGCUGCUUUAGGCCUACAUCAAUGUGAGGUACCAGUACUUUGAUUGUGUCAUAUAACAAUUUAAAGCAACAUUUUGAAAUGAAUAGUCUGUAGAAUUGACAGUAAAUACAUUUAAGUGAUGGGCUGUGAUCUGCAUGAAUUGAGAGCUGAUCAUGUAUUGAAUUUGUGUUUUUGA